rnacentral:rRNA from 1 species
GCAUAUCAAUAAGCGGAGGAAAAGAAACCAACAGGGAUUGCCUCAGUAACGGCGAGUGAAGCGGCAACAGCUCAAAUUUGAAAUCUGGCUUCGGCCCGAGUUGUAAUUUGCAGAGGAAGCUUUAGGCGCGGCACCAUCUGAGUCCCCUGGAACGGGGCGCCACAGAGGGUGAGAGCCCCGUAUAGAUGGACGCCUAGCCUGUGUAAAGCUCCUUCGACGAGUCGAGUAGUUUGGGAAUGCUGCUCAAAAUGGGAGGUAAAUUUCUUCUAAAGCUAAAUACCGGCCAGAGACCGAUAGCGCACAAGUAGAGUGAUCGAAAGAUGAAAAGCACUUUGAAAAGAGGGUUAAAUAGCACGUGAAAUUGUUGAAAGGGAAGCGCUUGUGACCAGACUUGCGCCGGGCGGAUCAUCCGGUGUUCUCACCGGUGCACUCCGCCCGGCUCAGGCCAGCAUCGGUUCUCGUGGGGGGAUAAAGGCACCGGGAACGUAGCUCCUCCGGGAGUGUUAUAGCCCGGGGCGUAAUGCCCUCGCGGGGACCGAGGACCGCGCAUCUGCAAGGAUG